AGAUUUUUCUAGUGUAUUGCAACGUGAUAAUAUCUGCCUCAUCACAGGACACCAAAAACCAAGCUACAAUUCCAGGAUCUAAACCCUCUGAGCACUCAGAUACCAGUCUAUCCAUCCAGAGCCAGAGAGGUGAGGACACUGGCCUCUGCUUUAACAGCUCCUCGUGACUUUGACCUGGACUCCAUCACCUUAGGACGACUUUUGCCUCAUCUCAAUGCUGUAUUCCCCACCGACGAGGCUCCUUCACGAAUACUUUCAGGUAACACAGCCACCAAGAGCUAUUCAGGAUAUACCAAGAUCUGCACCAAAUGGAGGAGAUUUUCCAGCUUGGGUGCCCAAAAGGAUGGAGUACCACGAACAGAAAUGACAAAGAGAAAGCAGUUCCCUCAUCACCACCACUCUAUGGAGUGGUUACUUCUCCACUCCUGGGUUACUUCUGGGAGAGG